GACGAACGCUGGCGGCGUGCUUAACACAUGCAAGUCGAACGGAAAGGCCCUGCUUUUGUGGGGUGCUCGAGUGCCGAACGGGUGAGUAACACGUGAGUAACCUGCCCUUGACUUUGGGAUAACUUCAGGAAACUGGGGCUAAUACCGGAUAGGAGCUCCUGCUGCAUGGUGUGGGUUGGAAAGUUUCGGCGGUUGGGGAUGGACUCGCGGCUUAUCAGCUUGUUGGUGGGGUAGUGGCUUACCAAGGCUUAGACGGGUAGCCGGCAUGAGAGGGUGACCGGCCACAUUGCGACUGCGAUACGGACCAGACUCCUACGGGAGGCAGCAGUGGGGAAUAUUGCACAAUGGGCGGAAGCCUGAUGCAGCAACGCCGCGUGCGGGAUAACGGCCUUCGGGUUGUAAACAGCUUUCGCCUGUGACGAAGCGUGAGUGACGGUAAUGGGUAAAAAAGCCCCGGCUAACUACGUG
rnacentral:rRNA from 1 species